rnacentral:rRNA from 1 species
UACGAGGGGGGCAAGCGUUGUUCGGAAUUAUUGGGCGUAAAGGGCGCGUAGGCGGUGUCGCAAGUCCGUGGUGAAAUCUCUAGGCUCAACUUAGAGACUGCCGCGGAAACUGCGGUGCUUGAGUGUGGGAGAGGUGCGUGGAAUUCCCAGUGUAGAAGGUGAAAUUCGUAGAUAGUUGGGGAAGAACACCGGUGGCGAAGGCGGCGACCUGGUCCGAUAC